UACGGAGGAUGCAAGCGUUAAUCGGAAUUACUGGGCGUAAAGCGUGCGUAGACGGUUAUUUAAGUCGGGUGUGAAAGCCCCGGGCUCAACCUGGGAAUUGCAUUUGUGACUGCAUAGCUAGAGUACGGUAGAGGGGGAUGGAAUUCCGCGUGUAGCAGUGAAAUGCGUAGAUAUGCGGAGGAACACCGAUGGCGAAGGCGCCACUCUGGGCCGUAACUGACGCUGAGGAGCGAAAGCGUGGGUAGCAAACAGG
rnacentral:rRNA from 1 species